rnacentral:rRNA from 1 species
CGCUGGCGGCGUGCUUAACACAUGCAAGUCGAGCGGGGAUAGGUGCUUGCACCUGAUCCUAGCGGCGGACGGGUGAGUAAUGCUUAGGAAUCUGCCUAUUAGUGGGGGACAACGUUCCGAAAGGGACGCUAAUACCGCAUACGUCCUACGGGAGAAAGCAGGGGAUCUUCGGACCUUGCGCUAAUAGAUGAGCCUAAGUCGGAUUAGCUAGUUGGUGGGGUAAAGGCCUACCAAGGCGACGAUCUGUAGCGGGUCUGAGAGGAUGAUCCGCCACACUGGGACUGAGACACGGCCCAGACUCCUACGGGAGGCAGCAGUGGGGAAUAUUGGACAAUGGGGGCAACCCUGAUCCAGCCAUGCCGCGUGUGUGAAGAAGGCCUUUUGGUUGUAAAGCACUUUAAGCGAGGAGGAGGCUUACCUGGUUAAUACCCGGGAUAAGUGGACGUUACUCGCAGAAUAAGCACCGGCUAACUCUGUGCCAGCAGCAGC